UGAUGAUUCAAGAUAACGUCGCACGGAUCGGGGGCGUCAAAACUCCCGACGGUGCAAAAGAAUUUCUGCCCUAUCAACUUUCGAUGGUAGUGUAGUGGACUACCAUGGUUGUUACGGGUAACGGAGAAUUAGGGUUCGAUUCCGGAGAGGGAGCCUGAGAAACGGCUACCACUUCCAAGGAAGGCAGCAGGCGCGCAAAUUACCCAAUCCCAAUACGGGGAGGUAGUGACAAGAAAUACCGAUGUGGGACCUUUCAGGUACCACGUUCGAAAUGAGAACAAUUUAAAAACCUUAACGAGGAACAAGUGGAGGGCAAGUCUGGUGCCAGCAGCCGCGGUAAUUCCAGCUCCACUAGUGUAUAUUAAAGUUGUUGCGGUUAAAAAGCUCGUAGUUGAACCGCGGGUCGGGGGGGUUGGGCUUCUCCGUAGGGGAUCUUCCCUCAGGGGUAGAUCUGUCCGCGGGGAGCGAAAGCCUCUCCCCUCCGCCCAACGAUACUUUCCGGAGCAAUCAGGGGCUCCGUCUUUCCUCUCUCGUCUUCGGGCGGGCGAGGGGGGCGGGGUCUCGCCCCGGAUAUGUUACUUUGAAGAAAUUUGAGUGUUCAAAGCAGGCAUAAAUUUGCCUUGAAGACGUUAGCAUGGGAUAACGAAAGAUGACCUUGAGCCCGACCUUCGUUGGUUCUUCGAGCUUAGGUAAUGAUUAAUAGGGACGGUCGGGGUCGCUGGUACCGAGUGGCUAGAGGUGAAAUUCUAUGACCCACUCGAGACCGACAAAAGCGAAAGCAUUCGACAAGGAUGUUUUCAUUAAUCAAGAACGAAAGUAGAGGGAUCGAAGAUGAUCAGAUACCGUCGUAGUCUCUACCGUAAACGAUGACGACUCGGGAUCUGAGGGCGUUACAUGGAUGACCCCUCAGGCACCGUGUGAGAAAUCAUAAGUAUCCAGUCUCCGGGGGGAGUAUGGUCGCAAGGCUGAAACUUAAAGGAAUUGACGGAAGGGCACCACCAGGCGUGGAAUUUGCGGCUUAAUUUGACCCAACACGGGGAAACUUACCAAGUCCGAACACAACGAGGAUUGACAGAUUGAUAGCUCUUUCUUGAUUUUGUGAAGAGUGGUGCAUGGCCGUUUUUAGUUGGUGGAGUGAUCUGUCUGGUUAAUUCCGUUAACGAACGAGACCUUAACCUAUUAAAUAGAGGCACGGACGCGGAAGUUCGGGAAGGUUUCGGCCGACUCGGCUUUCACACUUUGAUCCGCGCAUAAAUUACUUCUUAGAGGGACAAUUCGCUAUUAAGCGAAAUGAAGUUUAAGGCAAAAACAGGUCUGUGAUGCCCUCAGAUGUUUUGGGC
rnacentral:rRNA from 1 species